UAUGGUCCUUUGCAGAAAAUGUUUGCCAACUCCUGUUCAAUGGGACUUUGAAUGAAAAGACAAGUUUUCCACCCCAAUAUAACCAAUAUACAAUGAUACAUCAUUUUAAAAAUGUAAUUCUAAAAAGGGAUUGUUGGGUGACACUCUUACAUGAAUUUUGUCCUAAUAUUGGUCUUUGUGAGGGUGGUGGCCAAUGCUCCUUGGAAUGUCCUGCCUAUUCUUUUUUCCUAAUGUGGCCUUACGUAAACUGAGGUCAUGGAAGCAUGAAAUCCAAAAUUUUCUAACAAGGCUUCCAAGGGUGGAUCUUAUUUGUUUCAGUAGAACAAAACUUGCUAUUCUAAUGGUCUCUCCACUUUUCCUUCUGCCUCUGAGCAAGAUGAAGAAAAAAAGAUGAAGCUGUUUUCCAGAGACCAGCACUUCAUCCCUGAGAAAAUGUCAAGAUUAUAGGCAUGCUCUAUAGAAGAUAAUGAGUUAAUACCGAAUGGCUAAAUCAGGGGAGUAUUUGAUUGGGGUUCCCAGAAACCAACAAGAUGUGGAUUCAUAUUCAAAUGCUUCCAGGAGAAUCAAGUAAGGAAGUUAAGAAAGAGAAAGAAAGGAAACAAAGGAAAAAAAUGGCAGCAUACUGAAACGGUAAAUGGAAAGGCCAUGUUUUUUGAGUGACACCAUUAGAGUAAAAACUAGCCAGAGGCAUCUGGUGGACAAGCAUCUGAGCCACACAGGAGGGAAGUCCUGUCCAUGAGAUGCAUUCACGUGAGUCCUGGAUUCAACUGCUUAGCUUGGCUCCACCAUGGGUUCUUCUCAAAAACCAACCUUACAAAGUUGUUGUAAAGGCUAACAAACAUAUUUAUUUAUAGAACAAUAUAAAUGAUAGGUACUUGAUAAAUGGUGGUUAUUUUAUUAGUAUGCUUAAGUAAUGGAGCUUAAUCCAUUCAAUCAAUUUCUCUAUUUUUCACAGAGAUAAGGAAAUGAGCUUUUUGACAGCUUUUCCCUGCUAUUAGAUUAGUUGACAAGAUGGUGUUAAUACACCCAUUCAACCACCGUGGCAGACACUGUAGUUCCCGGACAGUGAAAUUUUUGUUGCACCAAAUACGAUUAUUGUGGUUUUUGUUUACAAUGCUAUACAUGUUUGUUGUUUAUUUUAUUUAACUUUAGUAGAAAUGAGUUGCUUUAUUUAAAAAAAAUGACUGCUAAUUUGAUCACUGAAAUAAAAUUAAAUGGCAGUUCAAGAUGCAGACUUCUAACCAAGCUCUAGUAUUAAACAAUGCUGCUACUUUCCAAUUCUCACUACUCAUCAGAUGUGUUGUAUAUAUCCAAGAUUGCGGAAUUUGGGAAAAAAUAUUUUUUCAUUUAAGAUGUCAAGUGUAUUUUUUGAGUAGAUCAUCGUGAACAUUGAGAAGUUUUGGAUCAUUUGCCCAUAUAUGUUAACUGAAUAAAUGUACUGGAAAAAUCUCUCUCAGCAUUUUAAACUAUUGACUUGUUUGUUAAUGCAAAUUUAGAAUAUAUCAUGAGACAUUCUAUCCCAAGAUCUGUUGAAUUUUGUUGUAUUAUAGACCAGGGAAUAAACAAAAAAUCUACAAAUCCAAAAAAUAAGAGCAUAGAUGAGUAUUUUCAUAAUAUUUUUGAAAAUCUCUGAGAAAGAUGAUUUAUAAGAAAACAUAAUACUGGGUCAUUUUGUCUCCCAUCUUUAUACAACUUGGUGAGUUGAGUGUCUGUUGAGUUUUGCUGUAUAAUAGACCAGGAAAUAACCCAACAGUUCACUAUAAAAGCUUAGAUGGAUAUUUUCAUAAUAUUUAUGAAAAUCUCUGAGAAAGAUGAAAAGAAAACACAAAACUGGGUCAUUUUGCCUCUUGUCUUCAUACGACUUUGUAGGUGGUCAUUAAAAAUAAUUCCAUCCUAGUCCAUAUGAAUGCUGUAAUUUUGUUAAAUAUUACUAGAAAUAAUAGAGUUUAAAAUAUAAUACUUGUUAAAUAUUACUAGAAAUAAUAGAGUUUAAAAUGUCAUACUUAACAUUCUAAAAAGAGAAAAUUAUUAGGUUGGUGGAAAAGUAAUUGUGGUUUUUGCCAUUACUUUUGCACAACCUAAUAAGUUAGAUUAUCAUUAUUAUGGAACAUUAUCUUAUAUUAUUUCCUUCAAAAAGGUGUAGCUUUUCAAACGCCAUUAGACAUUAAACCCUUUUAACACAUGAGUUGUUUGUAUUUUGCUUUUCUAACAAGACAUCUAGAAUAUGCUACGUUUUCUACUUUAGCAUUGUUUCAACUUUGAAUAAUUACUUUCUGAUAGAUUGAAUGUAGGUUUAUUGAGAGGAAUUAUCAUUUUAAAUUGUUUUGGAUAUUUUUUCCUUUACUACUCAGCAAAUCAAAAACUAUUGUCAAUGCUCUAAUUAUGAUUUAUAGAGAUUAAUUCCCACUACCAAAGUGUUGAUCAUGAUUUUUUUUUUUUUACAGGUACUAAAGCAGGUGUUUUACCUAACAUCUCUGUGUUGCCAGGUUUUGCAGCCACUGAAGUUAUUGAUCACUUUUCAAAAAUGUCUCACUUUGCAUAUCGACUACCCUCCGUUGCUCCCUGCUAGUUUUUAAAUCUGCACUUUGGGGCACUAGAAGUGACUGAAAUAUCAGUUAAGUCCUAUUUGACAAAUACGUAUUUAGAGUAACCAAUUCAAUAGGGCCAUAAAGAAACUACGGGGUUAGUGCUAGUUAAUAUUGAGACAUCAGUUUUGGGAAUUUUGCUGUUUAUUGGUGGAAGCUACAACGAGAUUUUGUGUAGUUUCUAUUAAAACAAUAAAAUAUUAUCUGAUUCAUAA